GUAAACGAUGAUGACUAACCGUUGGUUCGAAAAGGAUCAGUGGUCAAGCGAAAGCGUUAAGUCAUCCACCUGGGGAGUACGGCCGCAAGGCUGAAACUCAAAGGAAUUGACGGGGGCCCGCACAAGCGGAGGAACAUGUGGUUUAAUUCGAUGAUACGCGAGGAACCUUACCCGGGCUCGAACGGCGGAUGAACAUGUCAGAGAAGGCAUAGUCGCAAGACAUCCGUCGAGGUGCUGCAUGGCUGUCGUC
rnacentral:rRNA from 1 species